rnacentral:tRNA from 1 species
GGAGGGAUGGCCGAGUGGCUUAAGGCGGCGGUCUUGAAAACCGCUGUACCUUUUCAGGUACCGUGGGUUCGAAUCCUACUCCCUCCGCCA